rnacentral:rRNA from 1 species
GAUGAACGCUAGCGGGAGGCCUAACACAUGCAAGCCGAGCGGUAUUGUUUCUUCGGAAAUGAGAGAGCGGCGUGCGGGUGCGUAACACGUGUGCAACCUGCCUUUAUCUGGGGGAUAGCCUUUCGAAAGGAAGAUUAAUACUCCAUAACAUAGUGAACGGCAUCGUCUCAUAUUGAAAGCUCCGGCGGAUAGAGAUGGGCACGCGCAAGAUUAGCUCGUUGGUGAGGGAACGGCUCACCAAGGCGAUGAUCGUUAGGGGGCCUGAGAGGGUGAUGCACCAAGCUGGAACUGAGGCACGGACCAGACGCCUACGGGAGGCAGCAGUGAGGAAUAUUGGACAAUGGGUGAAAGCCUGAUCCAGCCAUCCCGCGUGAAGGACGACUGCCCUAUGGGUUGUAAACUUCUUUUGUAUAGGGAUAAACCUACCCUCGUGAGGGUAGCUGAAGGUACUAUACGAAUAAGCACCGGCUAACUCCGUGCCAGCAGCCGCCGUAAUAC